UAAUUUGACGAGUAGACAACCCAUAUAACAAAAUUGCAUUUCAGGUUUUUCAAGUAUUUUCUGGUUCUUUGCAAUCUGGCAUACCAACCAGUAUAUAUUAAUUUUCGUGAAAGAUAAUUUCGCAUCUACAAAGAUGAUGAUUGUGGGUGCUUUUAAAAUGAUACUAUUAAUUUACUUUAUAAGAAAAAUAACCGGCUUGGAUAUAACAAUAAACGAAACGUAUUAUUGUUACAUAGAAGAUAAUGAGCUUAUCAAAAUUAAUCAUUUUUGUGAUAAAAAUCAGGAAAGAAGUGGUAUAUUUAUAGAAGGAAACAAUGAUACUCACGUAUGGUUUCCUCUUAAUAAUGAACAAUGUAUUGCAAAGAUGGAUAAUGUUAUUGAAAUUGCUACUUGUGAAGAUUACAAUUUAUAUAACGAAGAGAUUAUUGAAAUACCACCACCUUGUGGAAAUGAUGUUUAUGGAAAACCCAUUAACUGUUCGGAUCAAUUUAAUUAAUUAUAAGUAUCUUAUCCAAAUUUGUUUCAUGAUAAGUAAGAUAAGUAAAUACCUAUACUAUAUCAUCGUCUUAUGUAUACAAACCCAUCUUUUAAUAUAUAAAUAGCAGCUAAUUUUUUUCUCAUUUGGCUCAUUUGGUGCAAGCCUUUAAUGUGCAAUUUAGCGCUGAGCAUCAAACAAUCGGUCAUCUUAAGUCGUGGUAAUUAUGUACGUCAACAAAGCCAUUGGAUUUAGAUUCUCGCAAAUUAGAGUUCUGUCUCAACCAUUUGACUAACAAUAAGACUACACAGAGAUAUGUCACCUUGGAGACAAACUUGGGAUUAUUAUCAUUAAGAGGAAGAACAUUAUGAUUUCCUACUUCUGUAAAUCCUAAAAGACCAAGAUUUUUCAAUUCGUCAAUCAUCAUCAUUUUUUUUCAUUCUUCCAAUAAUUUACAAAUUUCUCACAUUCUGAUGUACUUACAUCUAAAUAUGAUCCAAAUACCUCAAAAGAUGUUGUAGUAAGAUGUUGGAUGUGGUCUAAGUGCCGCUAGAGAAGCUGCUAAGUUGAAUCUAUUUCCAACCUUAACAUACUAUUUUUAAACAUAUUAUAAAUAUUAUCUUAUAAAACAUAUUAUAGAUAACCCAAAUCGCAAAAUAACAUUUCUGGUUCUCUUGAAAAACGCAAAUUAAGAAACUACAUGUGGUAUCUUGAAACGUUCAUUGACACCAGUGAUGAUUAACAAGUACGUAAAUAAACAAAUUAGAAAAUGAAAAUUAACUUAACUAGGGAAAGAUAUCUCCUACACAAAGGUUGAACGGAAAAACCCGAAACAGGUUUGUAACUACAUAAAAUAAUAAUAACUAACCAAUAAUUAUCCAAUUAAAUGUUUUUUACGAUCCAUAUAUAACAUUAAAACCUUAAUAUUCUUAUUAAUAUUGUCAACCUGAAUAAGACGUAUUGGACAGCAUGCAGUCACACGGUGUUUUAAAAAUAUUCUUGUUCCUUUACUUUAUAGGAAAAGCAACUAACAUGGUAAUAAAUAUAAACGGAAAUAAUUUCUGUUUUUUACCAGACGAUGAUCUCAAAAAAGCACAUCACACUUGCAAUAACAACGAUCGACAAUUAAAAGGUGAAUCACAAGAAGGCUAUAAUAAAACACAUGUACGGUUUGUUAUAAAUAAUGAAUUAUGUACAGCACAAUUAAGUGAUGUUAUUAAAAUUGCGAUUUGCGAAGAGGAUAAGGAAGCGCACAAAGAAGAAUCAGUUACUGUGCCAUAAACGUAAUUUUUAGCAAAGUGUGGAACUGAUAUUUAUGGAAACGUAAUUAAAAGCAGUAAUUGCUUCAAUUAAUCUCAGUUACACCCAUUUUCUAAUAAUCUCAAUAUGGAAUUUAAUAAACAAUAACCAAUUUAAUUGUGUGAAGAGAAUUAAACGUGCAUCCCACGUUAUUCAUACCUGGAUUUAUAUUCAUUAUCAUCACUGUGAAAUCUCGACAUAUUGCAGCAACAAACAAGUUAAAUCCACGCGCAAUAGGAUCGUUAAUCUUUUAAUAGUGUAAAAGCAAAUGUUAUGUAAUGGAAUGCUUUUAAAUUCGUUCUGCAAAUUUGCUUUGUGGACAUAAAUAGUCUAAUAAUAAAACGAUAAACAAAUAUCUUUUGUAUUAGAAUCAAAAAUUUAUAUUUUUUUAAUCAAUUUCCUUAAUUUAGAUCACCUUUUGAUAACAAAAAUAGUGACACAACACAAAUUUCAUCAUGCAAGAAUGAUAGACAUCAUACGACAAAAUUUAAUACCUUGAAUCAUCCAAUAACGUUGAAAAGAUAUUACGCUAAAAAGCGAAAAGCAGAGAGCUUUUACAUCAGAGCUGAUAAUAUCUGGACAUAUUCGAAAGAGGAGAGGAGAAAGUUUAACUAAGUUAGUCGGUGUACACUUCCACUAAAAAUGCAAAACAAAAGAAUAGAAAACGCUUGAAAAAAUUGUUUGACAAACUUCAGACAUAUCUCGAGAUAGUUCUCAUCGUACGAGGAUCUCAGCUUUGUUACAACGAAAUUAAAAACACUCGUGAAAUAUCCUACUUAAUUUACAUUGAUAGGAUGUUCCAAUAUCAGGACUGACGUGUUAGUAUAACCCCGAUAUGGGCCACGCAGGACGGAUCUGAUAUCGACAGUGCCCAAUCUAUGUGGAAAAGACCUCGGAAAACGAAGGAGUGGUCGCCGUUCAAUCGACCAACAAAUUGACUGAGGGGUCAUAAAUGUAUUACGAACUUCUAACUGCAUAAGGACCCUAUAACUCCGAAUAGACGUAACGAAGCUGUCUUCGCCACCACUUUACAGACGGGUUAUAUAACGCAGCACAAGUUUCAACCCGGCAGGAUAAUUCAAACGAAUCACAAAACAUUUUGCUAAUCUUAAAACUGAAUAUUUCUUUUGUCUAAAUUAAAGACGUCGGCUGUUACGCAUACACUUAGUUUUUCUGAGUUGACUUUUCAAAUUCGUGAUUACCUCGUAAAAACAGUCUGGAAAAAGAAUUCUAAAUUUACAAGGUAAUUCCCGAAAAUGAGAAAAGUGAAGACAAAAAAUCUGAUCUUCUUAUAAUUUGCCUUAAUGUUACGUUACUAACGUAGUAACCACUACCCAACAAACACUUACCAAGUAAUAAAAUGAUUCACAGAUGUAUGAUUAUACGCAUUGUCCAUUGAAUCUUCACACCUUCUCGUUAUUAAUGCCAUAAACAUCACGUGGUGUGUUAGGCAACAUGCAACCGAGCGUUUUAAAAAUAUUUUUGUUAAUUUGCUUUUUAACCAAAACAAGAGGCAUGUUAAUAAAUGUUAAUGCAAGUUAUUUUUGUUUUCUACCAGAUGAAUCUCUUACCCAAACUCAUCAUGUUUGCGAUAGCAGCUAUUAUUACCAACCCACAAACAAAUUUGGCCCAAAUGAAAAUUAUAAUGAGACUCAUGUAUGGUUUGAUGUUAAUCACCAAUUGUGUACCGCAAAAUUAGAUGAUGUUGUACAAAUUGCGAUUUGUGAGAAAAGAACACAAGGUCAUGGCGUUGGAGAUGUUACUGCGCCACCAAUACGAGGAAAAGAUGUUUAUGGGAAACCAAUUAAACAUAAAGAUCAAUUCAAUUAGUAUUAAUGUGAUUUAAUUUUUAAAAUAUAAUAUGAUGUUACAAUUAUUUCUAAUAAAUAUUUUAUAUUAAAUUGAUACAGUAUUUGUACUUAUUUGCAUCACUUUAAAUAAUAUCUUAACACACUGUGGCAUUAACAAAUGAAAUCCAUACGCAAUUGCACCGUUAAUCUUUUAACAGGACAAAAGCAGCCAUUAUGCAACCCAAUGCUUUUAAAUUAGUGCUACUAACGUAUUAACCACUACCCAACAAACACUUACCAAGUAAUAAAAUGAUUCAAAGAUGUAUAUUUAUAUGCAUUGUUUAUUGAAUCUCCAUACCUUCUUGUUAUUAAUGCCAUAAACAUCACGUGGUGUGUUAGGCAACAUGCAACCGAGCGUUUUAAAAAUAUUUUUGUUAAUUUGCUUUUUAACCAAAACAAGAGGCAUGUUAAUAAAUAUUAAUGCAAGUUAUUUUUGUUUUCUACCAAAUGAAACUCUUACCCAAACCCAUCAUGUUUGCGAUAGCAGCUAUUACCAACCCACAAACAAAUUUGGACCUAACGAAAAUUAUAAUGAGACUCAUGUAUGGUUUGAUGUUAAUCACCAAUUUUGUACCGCAAAAUUAGAUGAUGUUGUACAAAUUGCGAUUUGUAACAAUAGAACACAAAUUUAUGCCGGUGGAGAUGUUACUGUACCACCAAUACGAGGAAAAGAUGUUUAUGGGAAUCCAAUUAAACAUAAAGAUCAAUUCAAUUAGUAUUAAUGUGGUUUAGUUUUUAAAAUAUAAUAUGAUGUUACAAUUAUUUCUAAUAAAUAUUUUAUAUUAAAUU